AUUGAACGCUGGCGGCAUGCUUUACACAUGCAAGUCGAACGGCAGCGCGGGCUUCGGCCUGGCGGCGAGUGGCGAACGGGUGAGUAAUGCAUCGGAACGUGCCCAGUAGUGGGGGAUAGCCCGGCGAAAGCCGGAUUAAUACCGCAUACGACCUGAGGGUGACAGCGGGGGACCGAAAGGCCUCGCGCUAUUUGCGCGGCCGAUGUCGGAUUAGCUAGUUGGUGGGGUAAAGGCUUACCAAGGCGACGAUCCGUAGCUGGUCUGAGAGGACGACCAGCCACACGGGGACUGAGACACGGCCCAGACUCCGACGGGAGGCAGCAGUGGGGAAUUGGGGACAAUGGGGGCAACCCGGAUCCAGCCAGGCCGCGGGCGGGAAGAAGGCCUUCGGGUUGUAAACCGCUUUUGUUCGGGAAGAAAUCCUCUGGGCGAAUACCCCGGGGGGAUGACGGUACCGGAAGAAUAAGCACCGGCUAACUACGUG
rnacentral:rRNA from 1 species